rnacentral:lncRNA from 1 species
AGGGUUUGUCGUUUGUGGUACCAAGUCCUACAAAUGAUGGCAGCUUAUCCGUGGCCAUUGCUCUCCAAACUGAACACAUGAAACUGUUUGAGAAGUAUUUGUACGAGAUAUGACAGAGACAAGCCAGCAGAAGAAGAUGAUGACGAUGAUUCCUCCUUUUCCCCCCACUUAAAAAGUGGGGCUUUUUUUUGUUGCUUAAUUGUCGCAGAUGAUUCGUUAUCCUGUAUUUUGGAGGGUACAAUAAAAGUUAUGUCACACAUAAGUUGGUACUUGUGGUGGUUCUGUAACAUUUGGAUCGGUCAUGUAGGAACUUUUGCUUUUAUGUUUAUACUG